AUGACGCUGGGAGCUCAGCCAUGCAAUGAAGCCACAACACUGGCCACUAAUCUUCAUCUGAAUUCGAUUUGCAUCGCCACAGACUGUGCGGAAGUGGUCGCCAACGUUGCCAAUUCAGCGCCUUGUCGGUAUGCUAUGAUCUUGAGCGACAUCAACCACCAGAGCCAAUCCUUUCCAGACUUCAUGAUCAUUCACGAGAAGCGGGAACACAAUGUAGAAGCACAUUCUUUAGCUAAGGCAGCUUCUUCUCUUUCUAUCGGGUGCCAUGUGUGGCUUGCUGUUUUGCCCGACAUUAUCUGUAUCCCCUUAAAAAUUGCUACUUAA
rnacentral:rRNA from 1 species